rnacentral:rRNA from 1 species
UACGAAGGGGGCUAGCGUUGCUCGGAAUUACUGGGCGUAAAGGGAGCGUAGGCGGAUAGUUUAGUCAGAGGUGAAAGCCCAGGGCUCAACCCUGGAAUUGCCUUUGAUACUGGCUAUCUUGAGUGUGGGAGAGGUUAGCGGAACUCCGAGUGUAGAGGUGAAAUUCGUAGAUAUUCGGAAGAACACCAGUGGCGAAGGCGGUUAACUGGCCCAUUACUGACGCUGAGGCUCGAAAGCGUGGGGAGCAAACAGG